GACGAACGCUGGCGGCGUGCUUAACACAUGCAAGUCGAACGGAAAGGCCCUGCUUUUGUGGGGUGCUCGAGUGGCGAACGGGUGAGUAACACGUGAGUAACCUGCCCUUGACUUUGGGAUAACUUCAGGAAACUGGGGCUAAUACCGGAUAGGAGCUCCUGCUGCAUGGUGGGGGUUGGAAAGUUUCGGCGGUUGGGGAUGGACUCGCGGCUUAUCAGCUUGUUGGUGGGGUAGUGGCUUACCAAGGCUUUGACGGGUAGCCGGCCUGAGAGGGUGACCGGACACAUUGGGACUGAGAUACGGCCCAGACUCCUACGGGAGGCAACAGUGGGAAAUAUUGCACAAUGGGCGGAAGCCUGAUGCAGCAGCGCCGCGUGCGGGAUGACGGCCUUCGGGUUGUAAACCGCUUUCGCCUGUGACGAAGCGUGAGUGACGGUAAUGGGUAAAGAAGCACCGGCUAACUACGUG
rnacentral:rRNA from 1 species